GUGAGGAAUAUUGCGCAAUGGAGGCAACUCUGACGCAGCCAUGCCGCGUGCAGGAAGAAGGCGCUACGCGUUGUAAACUGCUUUUAACCGGGAAGAAACCCCAGGACGUGUCCUGGGUUGACGGUACCGGAGGAAUAAGCACCGGCUAACUUCGUGCCAGCAGCCGCGGUAAUACGAAGGGUGCAAGCGUUAUCCGGAUUCAUUGGGUUUAAAGGGUGCGUAGGCGGAGCGUUAAGUCAGUGGUGAAAUCCUGCGGCUUAACUGUAGACUUGCCAUUGAUACUGGCGCUCUUGAGUGCGCUUGAAGUGGGCGGAAUGUGCCGUGUAGCGGUGAAAUGCUUAGAUAUGGCACAGAACACCAAUUGCGAAGGCAGCUCACUAAGGCGAUACUGACGCUGAGGCACGAAAGCGUGGGGAUCGAACAGGAUUAGAAACCCGUGUAGUCC
rnacentral:rRNA from 1 species